UCGCGGUUUCACGGCCCGGCCAGAGCUGUAAAAACACAACAACAACAAAGUUUUCUCUAAAAUUGCUUACUGCCUCUUUAAAACAUGUAAGCAUGGUAUCCCUGUCCACUGUGGUGGUCACGCAGAGGGAUUUGUGUUUCUUUCACAUUGUGUUGCUGACUCUGGCCAGCAGCCAAAAAAUGUCUGAUGUUUCUGUUGGCACAUUUUUAUAGCAUCACCAUAAUUUCAACCAAAUCUCUUUGAAGGAGAGGUGAGUUUUAUUUUUCAGUCCCUACUGUCAAAAAAAUAAAACCAAACACUGUACCCUCCUUGAUGAAUGUGCAUAUUACCAGCAUGUUACUGUGUCCAGUGUUGUGUACGAGGGCUUGGUCAUUGUGUCGUGAUGACUGAAAAAACUAUUUGGAUUAUUUAUAAAUCAUCUGUUGAAGAAUUCAGAGUUAUAUCAUGUGUGGUCUCGUGCCUACUCACCACUCUCUUUUCCUUUGCGUUCCUCCUCUGCAAGCUGGGCCUGCAGCUGCGUCUGAUUGGCUCUCAGGCAGCGGUUCAUCUCCUGCUCCUCCUUCAGCUCUUGGCUCAGCUUCACCACUCGACUGUUUAACUGUGUGUACCUCGACGUACAAACACAACGGAGGUGUGAGUUGGCAAGCUCUCUGCAAAGUAAAGUCUUAGAGGAAAGGGCCCACGUGUUGUGGCUAUUGGCUCACUGGCACCACUGACUGGUACAAUGGAAGUGAGCCAUUGUUACCAAACAGAGUUUAUGACUUGGAGCUUGUAUUGAGCAUAUCCACCCAUACCUCCUCGGCCGUCUCCUUCUCCAGAUGAACGAUCUUAUUCUCCCAGUAAAUCCUCUGAGACUCCAGUUGACUCGUCAGCAGGUACGAGUACUGCACACAUGGAACAUUAAUCAGGACAUUUCAGUGUUGGUUUAGCCAAAAAUAAAAAGCAAGCAACAAAAGGAAAUGCUUACCUCGAGCUGGAGUGCAUCAAUUUUCUCAGCAUGACAGGCGUCUCCCUCAUUCUCAUACUGUACCAUCUUUCCAUCGGUCUUACUGGCCACCAGUCGAUGCACGUAGUUAUCUACAUUAACAGGGAUCCACACAAACUUUGUUGUCAGAGUUGGUCCAUUGGAACCAGUUGAUCAACUAUUCUAAUAUUCUGUCAAUUGUUGCAUAAUGCUCAACAUUUACUGGUUACUGCCUUUUCCUCUCUUUCAGAUCACUGUAAAUUGAAUAUCUUUAGGUUUUGACUCAUCAAUGUGAACGAACAAAACAAGCAAUCAAAAACAUAAUCGAACCCUUGACCUCGGCAUCGAGGCAUAAACCUCGAAAUACAUGUGUGCCCGCUCUAUCCACUGAGCCGCCCCGGCCACAGAGUGUGACAUUUCUGAGUUUGAACGUGAUGUCAAGGAAAUAUUUGAUCGCAGGAGAUGGGGGGGAAAUUAUUUCCCAAAUAUUUGAAAUGUUUUGUAUAAAACUUUCUUUUGUAAGACAACAUGAACAACAAGUCCUUUUGUACUAAUAGGAAUAAAAAUCUACAUCCAUGA